rnacentral:other from 1 species
UUGAGUCUGCGGUGUUCGUGGUAUGGGAAAUUCGUAAUCCACAAAGUUAAUAAGGGAGCGGUUUCGUCCGCGGGAAUAGUUAAGGUCUGUAUUAUUCGGAAAGAACGACGUUUCGCGGCGUCGCACCCACCUGCGAGAAUGCGGGUUAACACUUUUUCAUAUCACGGCACAGGCGGAUUUGUA